rnacentral:rRNA from 1 species
ACGAGUUUGAUCCUGGCUCAGGAUGAACGCUAGCGGCAGGCUUAAUACAUGCAAGUCAAGGGGGUAGCAAUACUACCGGCGCACGGGUGAGUAACACGUACAUAACAUACCAUAUACUGGGGUAUAGCUUUGGGAAACUGAAGGUAAUCCCCCAUAACAUUGCGAGAGGGCAUCUGAUUGCAAUUAAAGUUUCGACGGUAUAUGAUUGAUGUGCGUUUGAUUAGCUUGUUGGUAGGGUAACGGCCUACCAAGGCGACGAUCAAUAGCUGGCGUGAGAGCGCGACCAGCCACACUGGAACUGAGACACGGUCCAGACUCCUACGGGAGGCAGCAGUAGGGAAUAUUGGGACAAUGGGCGAAAGCCUGGAUCCAGCCAUGCCGCGUGAUAGAUGAAGGCCCUCUGGGUUGUAAAUAUCUUUUAUCUGGGAAGAAACAAUCUUAUUCUUAAGAUCUUGACGGUACCAGAGGAAUAAGCACCGGCUAACUCCGUG